UUUGGAAAUGGAUUUGUAUUUGAAUUUGAAUUGAAAAUCCACGAUUUGUCAAUGGAAGAGAUUGAGAUGAAUUGUUGAAGUAAAUUAGAGUGAAGUGAAUAUUGUUGUUCUGUUUCUCCGUCUAUUUCCAACGGAAAUUCCUUUUGUUGAGAAGGAUUUGGAUUAUCCAUUGCUGAAAAUUUUCUGCUGAAGAUUAGAU
rnacentral:lncRNA from 1 species